rnacentral:misc_RNA from 1 species
UAAAUGAGUGUUUUAUGGCACUCUUUAAAAAUCCAUAUCCACCUUGUGUGCAAUGUUUGUUGGGAAAGCUUCUUGCUUUCCCUUCAUAAUAUCAACCUAUAUCUUUAACAACAUUCGUCUGAUAACAUAUUAUGAAUAUACUUAAUUCAAAAUA